AGCGAACGCUGGCGGCGUGCCUAACACAUGCAAGUCGAGUGCGCAGCGCCCGGUAGCAAUACCGGGUGUCGGCGCACGGCGGACGGGUGAGUAAGAUGUGGGAAACCUGCCCGGAAAUGGGGGAUAACCCGCCGAAAGGCGGACUAAUACCGCAUGAAAUUCCGAGGACCCCAGGUCCUUGGACUCAAAGCCCGCAAGGGCGUUUCCGGAGGGUCCCGCACCCGAUUAGCUAGUUGGCGAGGUAACGGCUCACCAAGGCCAUGAUCGGUAGCCGGUCUGAGAGGAUGAUCGGCCACACUGGAACUGAGACACGGUCCAGACUCCUACGGGAGGCAGCAGUGGGGAAUCUUGCGCAAUGGGCGAAAGCCUGACGCAGCGACGCCGCGUGGGGGAUGAAGCUUCUCGGAGUGUAAACCCCUUUCGACCCGGAAGAAAGUCCCG
rnacentral:rRNA from 1 species